rnacentral:rRNA from 1 species
UACGUAGGGUGCGAGCGUUAAUCGGAAUUACUGGGCGUAAAGCGUGCGCAGGCGGUUUUGUAAGUCUGAUGUGAAAUCCCCGGGCUCAACCUGGGAAUUGCAUUGGAGACUGCAAGGCUAGAAUCUGGCAGAGGGGGGUAGAAUUCCACGUGUAGCAGUGAAAUGCGUAGGGAUGUGGAGGAACACCGAUGGCGAAGGCAGCCCCCUGGGUCAAGAUUGACGCUCAUGCACGAAAGCGUGGGGAGCAAACAGG